GACGAACGCUGGCGGCGUGCUUAACACAUGCGAGUCGAACGGAAAGGCCCUGCUUUUGUGGGGUGCUCGAGUGGCGAACGGGUGAGUAACACGUGAGUAACCUGCCCUUGACUUUGGGAUAACUUCAGGAAACUGGGGCUAAUACCGGAUAGGAGCUCCUGCUGCAUGGUGGGGGUUGGAAAGUUUCGGCGGUUGGGGAUGGACUCGCGGCUUAUCAGCUUGUUGGUGGGGUAGUGGCUUACCAAGGCUUUGACGGGUAGCCGGCCUGAGAGGGUGACCGGCCACAUUGGGACUGAGAUACGGCCCAGACUCCUACGGGAGGCAGCAGGGGGGAAUAUUGCACAAUGGGCGGAAGCCUGAUGCAGCAACGCCGCGUGCGGGAGGACGGCCUUCGGGUGGUAAACCGCUUUCGCCUGUGACGAAGCGUGAGUGACGGUAAUGGGUAAAGAAGCACCGGCUAACUACGG
rnacentral:rRNA from 1 species